ensembl:snRNA U6 U6 spliceosomal RNA
GUGCUCACUUCAGCAGAACAUAUACUAAAACUGGAAGGGUGCAGAUGUUAGCAUGACCCCUGAACCAGGAUGAAACACAAAUUCGUGAAGGGUUCCAUAUUCAU